rnacentral:lncRNA from 1 species
AAAAAAAGGAAAUGGGAGGGAAAUGGAAGUGAAAGAAGGUGAGAUGAUGAGAGGAGCAAGCCUUGUGUGAUUCCCCUGAUACCUUACCUCUUUCCCCUUUUAUCAAAACGCAGAAACUUCUUCGCGUUUUGUGUUCACCGGAACCUCACAUGAAGAGCGCAGCGCAUUCUACCGGAGUCUCGCCGCCGACGGAGGAGAUCGAAUGGGAGAUGCGUCCCGGCGGCAUGUUCGUACAGAGACGCGAAGCAGGUGACGAUGAUCAAAGCAAUGGACCUAUGAUCAAUAUCAGUGUUGCACAUGCUUCUUCUCAUCACGAAGUCUACCUCCCAGUUCAAUCAACUUUCUGUGAGUCUCUUUUAUCUUAUCUCUUCACACUAUACUACUCUCUAUGCUGGUUUUGUGGCUGAAUUUUUGAAACAUCAGUUUUCGUUUUACUUUGCUGCUUGUUAUUGGCAUUUAAUUCUGUGAUUGUUUGAUUGUUUUAAGUUAAUUUUGAAAAGCUAAUUGUAUUUUGUGCGUAAUUGUAUUUUGUCGUUAUAUUAGUUCUUGAAAUUCGUGAAAUGAAGAAUAAUUUGAUUGAAAAUAAACUAUGUGAAGUGUAAAAUUUUACUUUGCAACUUGGAUUACGGUGACCGCGAGAGGGAUUGGAUGUUGCACAAGUUUUUAUUUUAAUUUUUAUAACCAUGAUAUAUAGGUACAAAGCUAUGUAGCUCCGAUAUUUCAUAUUGAAGAAGUGUCCAGUUUUCAUCAUGUGUCAACUCCGACACUUAAUACUACACCUACACGUGUGGCUACAUUCAAUUAAUUUCUAUUUUGUGAAAUCGUUACUGAUGUCUACGUAUUAUUGUCAAUAUGGUGUUUGGUGCUUGUGUCAAUGCUUCAUAGGUAUGAAGUAUACACUGUCGUUUCAUGCUGACUAAUAUCCGAUGCGUAACUUGGUAGACACACAAGGUGAAUUCUUUUUUCCCAACCAGGUUUUAUACAUAAGCAAGACCCAGAGAUCAAACCCCUGGCCACUUGCUUAAGGUGUUCGAGUCCCUUGCCAUAUGAACCAAUCACAUGUUGGUAAAAGAUAAAUGUAAAUUUCCUUUUUUCGGAGCUAAUACGACCGACAUUAUAUAUACCUGGAAUUGAUUUAACCAUUAUUCACUCUGAUAUUAGUUGAAAUUUGGGUUGAUUUGGUGUUGGUGAAUGCAUGGUUCAUCUUAUGUGAGUUGAUGUUGGUGGAGAGAUUCAAUGGAUAAAAGUUUUGGACCUUUCCACCUUGGUUGUGGAGUUGGUUUUUUGAAGGGUGGUGUUAUUAUUAAGGAAAAUUAAUUACAAUAUUAUAAAGAAAAAAAGGAAAUGGGAGGGAAAUGGAAGUGAAAGAAGGUGAGAUGAUGAGAGGAGCAAGCCUUGUGUGAUUCCCCUGAUACCUUACCUCUUUCCCCUUUUAUCAAAACGCAGAAACUUCUUCGCGUUUUGUGUUCACCGGAACCUCACAUGAAGAGCGCAGCGCAUUCUACCGGAGUCUCGCCGCCGACGGAGGAGAUCGAAUGGGAGAUGCGUCCCGGCGGCAUGUUCGUACAGAGACGCGAAGCAGGUGACGAUGAUCAAAGCAAUGGACCUAUGAUCAAUAUCAGUG